AAAGCGCGAUAGGUAAUGCGAAUUGCAGAAUUCAGUGAAUCAUUAAAUCUUUGAACGCAUCUUGCACUCUUUGGUAUCCCGAAGAGUACGCCUCGUUGAGUGUCGGAAACCCACAUAGCCUCUGCGCUGAAAAUGAGUGUCUCGUUUGCUUUCGGGUGGAUGAGUCACUUUAAGUACAUAUGUAUAUGAAGAUCAGCUGCACUUCUGUGGACUGAUGAAGAUAAUUGACUUCUGUCAACUACCAUCUCAUCGGUCAUCGCAGUCGUAAAAACAGUUCGAAUUCUAUACCAAAUUACAGAACGUGAGUUUUACAACUUGUGUUCUUUUUAAACUUGACCUCAACUGAAGCGAGAGAACCCGCCGAAUUUAA
rnacentral:misc_RNA from 1 species